rnacentral:rRNA from 1 species
GCAAUGCCUGCCCAGUGUGAUUAAAAAUCAUAAACGGCCGCCCUAGCGUGAGGGUGCUAAGGUAGCGAAAUUCCUUGCCUUUUAAUUGUAGGCCUGCAUGAAUGGCUUAACGAGGGCUUAACUGUCUCUGGUUUACAGGGUCUAAAUUGGAUUAAAGGUGAAGAUACCUUUAUAUAAAAGUCAGACAAGAAGACCCCGUGCAACUUUCAAAAUCGGUUUAUUGAGAAACUUUAAGAUUUUUAGGUGGGGCGCCUACUGAGUAAUACUAACCUCUGUGUAUGGAAAAAACUUUCAAGUAUAGACCCGGCAAUGCCGAUCAUAGGAGAAGUUACGCCGGGGAUAACAGGCUAAUUCACUAGUAGAGAACGUAUUGGCUAGUGGGAUUGGCACCUCGAUGUUGAAUCAGGGAUGAUACCUUUAAGGCGUAGAAGCUU